UACGUAGGGGGCAAGCGUUGUCCGGAUUUAUUGGGCGUAAAGAGCGUGUAGGCGGCUUUACAGGUCCGUUGUGAAAACUCGAGGCUCAACCUCGAGACGCCGGUGGAAACCGUAAAGCUAGAGUCCGGAAGAGGAGAGUGGAAUUCCUGGUGUAGUGGUGAAAUGCGUAGAUAUCAGGAGGAAUACCGGUGGCGAAAGCGACUCUCUGGACGGCAACUGACGCUGAGGCACGAAAGCGUGGGGAGCAAACAGG
rnacentral:rRNA from 1 species